CGGUGUUCAACUGGCGUGUCCGCGGGACGUCCUGCCGGUGGGCUUAGCCCGCAAGGGCGGCCCAACUUCAAAUCCCAUCGCGGUGCUCUUCACUGAGUGUCGAGGUGGGCCGGCACGUUUACUUUGAACAAAUUAGAGUGCUUAAAGCAGGCUAAAACUUCGCCUGAAUACUGUGUGCAUGGAAUAAUGGAAUAGGACCUCGGUUCUAUUUUGUUGGUUUUCGGAACCCCGAGGUAAUGAUUAAUAGGAACGGAUGGGGGCAUUCGUAUUGCGACGUUAGAGGUGAAAUUCUUGGAUCGUCGCAAGACGGACAGAAGCGAAAGCAUUUGCCAAAAACGCUUUCAUUGAUCAAGAACGAAAGUUAGAGGUUCGAAGGCGAUCAGAUACCGCCCUAGUUCUAACCAUAAACGAUGCCAGCUAGCGAUCCGUCGACGUUCCUCCGAUGACUCGACGGGCAGCUUCCGGGAAACCAAAGCUUUUGGGUUCCGGGGGAAGUAUGGUUGCAAAGCUGAAACUUAAAGGAAUUGACGGAAGGGCACCACCAGGAGUGGAGCCUGCGGCUUAAUUUGACUCAACACGGGAAACCUCACCAGGCCCCGGACACCGGAAGGAUUGACAGAUUGAGAGCUCUUUCUUGAUUCGGUGGGUGGUGGUGCAUGGCCGUUCUUAGUUGGUGGAGCGAUUUGUCUGGUUAAUUCCGAUAACGAACGAGACUCUAGCCUGCUAACUAGGCGUAUUUUCGACAUCUCAAAGGUCCGUCGUCCCGGCCCUCGGGUCGUGGGCGUGCGCGAUUUUUACUGUCGGCGUACUAUCAAUUCUUCUUAGAGGGACAGGUGGCUUCUAGCCGCACGAGAUUGAGCAAUAACAGGUCUGUGAUG
rnacentral:rRNA from 1 species